rnacentral:tRNA from 1 species
AGUCUUAUAUUCAAAUUAUGAUUUUAGACUGCAAUUCUGAAGGUGUGGAUUAUUUAUUCUACUAAGACUU